UAAUAAUGAUGAUGAUGAUGAUGGUGGUGAUGACAACGAUCAUGAUCAUCACCAUCAUCACCAUCGUCGUCAUUAUCAUCACCAUCAUCACCAUCG
rnacentral:pre_miRNA from 1 species